UCUGGUAAUGAUGCGUCUUAGGGUUACACCCGUACCCAUACCGAACACGAAGGUUAAGACUUAGACGGCUGAUGGUACUGCAUGGGUGACUGUGUGGGAGUGUAAGUGGUUGCCAGGU
rnacentral:rRNA from 1 species